rnacentral:rRNA from 1 species
UACGUAGGGUGCGAGCGUUAAUCGGAAUUACUGGGCGUAAAGCGUGCGUAGGCGGUUCGCUGUGUCCGAUGUGAAAGCCCCGGGCUUAAUCUGGGAAUGGCAUUGGAAACUGGCGGGCUUGAGUGCGGCAGAGGGGGGUGGAAUUCCGCGUGUAGCAGUGAAAUGCGUAGAGAUGCGGAGGAACACCGAUGGCGAAGGCAGCCCCCUGGGUCGACACUGACGCUCAGGCACGAAAGCGUGGGGAGCAAACAGG